AAAAAAGGUAAGCUACUAAGAGCGAAUGGUGGAUGCCUUGACUGGUAAAGGCGAUGAAGGACGUACUAGACUGCGAUAAGCUACGGGGAGCUGUCAAGAAGCUUUGAUCCGUAGAUUUCCGAAUGGGGCAACCCAAUGUAUAGAGAUAUACAUUACCUAUAUAGGAGCGAACGAGGGGAAUUGAAACAUCUUAGUACCCUCAGGAAAAGAAAUCAAUAGAGAUUGCGUCAGUAGCGGCGAGCGAAAGCGCAAGAGGGCAAACCCAGUGCUUGCACUGGGGGUUGUAGGACUGCAAUGUGCAAGAGCUGAGUUUAGCAGAACAUUCUGGAAAGUAUAGCCAUAGAGGGUGAUAGUCCCGUAUGCGAAAAACAAAGCUUAGCUAGCAGUAUCCUGAGUAGGGCGGGACACGAGGAAUCCUGUCUGAAUCCGGGUCGACCACGAUCCAACCCUAAAUACUAAUACCAGAUCGAUAGUGCACAAGUACCGUGAGGGAAAGGUGAAAAGAACUGAGGUGAUCAGAGUGAAAUAGAACCUGAAACCAUUUGCUUACAAUCAUUCAGAGCACUAUGUAGCAAUACAGUGUGAUGGACUGCCUUUUGCAUAAUGAGCCUGCGAGUUGUGGUGUCUGGCAAGGUUAAGCAAACGCGAAGCCGUAGCGAAAGCGAGUCUGAAUAGGGCGCUUAGUCAGAUGCUGCAGACCCGAAACGAAGUGAUCUAUCCAUGAGCAAGUUGAAGCUAGUGUAAGAACUAGUGGAGGACUGAACCCAUAGGCGUUGAAAAGCCCCGGGAUGACUUGUGGAUAGGGGUGAAAGGCCAAUCAAACUUCGUGAUAGCUGGUUCUCUCCGAAAUAUAUUUAGGUAUAGCGUUGUGUCGUAAUAUAAGGGGGUAGAGCACUGAAUGGGCUAGGGCAUACACCAAUGUACCAAACCCUAUCAAACUCCGAAUACCUUAUAUGUAAUCACAGCAGUCAGGCGGCGAGUGAUAAAAUCCGUCGUCAAGAGGGAAACAACCCAGACUACCAGCUAAGGUCCCUAAAUCUUACUUAAGUGGAAAACGAUGUGAAGUUACUUAAACAACCAGGAGGUUGGCUUAGAAGCAGCCAUCCUUUAAAGAAAGCGUAAUAGCUCACUGGUCUAGUGAUUUUGCGCGGAAAAUAUAACGGGGCUAAAGUAAGUACCGAAGCUGUAGACUUGCGCACAACUUAGAUUAUUUAAGUUUAGAAUAUGAGAAACUAAGUUAUGUUUAGUUAUAUUUUUACUGAUUUUUAUAGAGUAAAGAUAGAAAUAAAACUUAGUAAAAUCAGUAAAAAUAUUCUUAGGCUAAAGUUAAGUAGUUUAAGUUGUGUGCAAGUGGUAGGAGAGCGUUCUAUUUGCGUCGAAGGUAUACCGGUAAGGAGUGCUGGAGCGAAUAGAAGUGAGCAUGCAGGCAUGAGUAGCGAUAAUUAAUGUGAGAAUCAUUAACGCCGUAAACCCAAGGUUUCCUACGCGAUGCUCGUCAUCGUAGGGUUAGUCGGGUCCUAAGUCGAGUCCGAAAGGGGUAGACGAUGGCAAAUUGGUUAAUAUUCCAAUACCAACAUUAGUG
rnacentral:rRNA from 1 species